CAUAUAUUACCUCCGUUCCAAAAUUCUCGUCUUAGAUUUGUCUAGAUACGGAUGUAUCUAACACUAAAACAUGACUAGAUACAUCCGUAUCUAGACAAAUCUAAGACAAGAAUUUUGGGACGGAGGGAGUGAUUU
rfam:Triticum aestivum genome assembly, contig: Triticum_aestivum_CS42_TGACv1_scaffold_224699_3B